UAAACAACUAAAUAAUUUAUAUUAUUUAUAAUCAUGAUCAUUCAUAAUUGAGCACUAUAAUGAGCAUCAAACACAAAGUAGAAAAAGUAAAAAUAAAUACUAUUCAGAACAAGGUUGUGUCUCUUCUUCAUCGAGAAGAUUAAGAUGGCACAAAUCUCUCUGAAGGCCUGACCUAUCAAUAAAUAUGUUUUUAUCGUUUCGCGUUAUCUUUUAUAAGAAGCUGUCACUAAAUAGUCUAAUGUUAUUCAAUGUUGCUAAUCAACUUUCCUGAAUCUUUCCUUUUUUAUAUCGGUCACCUUCUCCAUUCAUCACCUCAUCUUUAGGAAUUCCACCUAUUUCUUUACAAAAAUAAAAAUAGUAAUAAAAUAGAAAGACAAUAAAUAUUAUUAAAAUUAAAUAAAGCGUAAAAGUAAGAUGAAUUUAAUACCUUUUAAUUAAGAUUAUAUCCAAUUCUAGUAUACAUUAAAGCCUCUAAUUUACUUGCAUGAAGUAUACUACAAUGUGGGCUUAAAAAUCAACCGUCCCCACUAAAAGUCGACUGCAUGUGUUAGCUUGACAUCAAAGCAUGCACUCAGAAUUAUUGACCAAAGUCAUGUUUACGAAAUAUUUCAAAGCUAAUAUUCAUCAAAUUGUGCGCUAACAAAUAAAAGCAAUUGAAUCAAUAACCAUUUUUACCCACUAAAUAUUAAUUUAUACGAAAUGGCUAGUGUUUGGAAUGAAUUUUUUAGCACAUAAAAUUUAUUUAGUCUCUAAAUUUCAAAAUGAAUUUCUAUACGCGAAUUACACUAAACCACCCAUAAAUUAACAUGUGACCACCGAAUUACCAAUAAAUGUCAAAUGGGUUCAUUUAGUUCAGGGGAAAAAAAAAGACAACUUCAACAUUUCACACAACAUUUGGACCAUCAAUUGAUAUUAAAACACAUACAUAAAGUAAAAGCUAUCACAUGUAUGCAAUAAGAGAUAAAAAGAAAGAUACCUUAAAUAAGAAGAAGAAGAAGCUGCAAUGCUAAAGAGGAGAGAGCAGGGUCGUAAAUACACUAAUAUCAAUAGCGGAACAAGCAACGAUUGACAAUAUCAAUGGUCGACAAGUGACGACCGACAGACAAAUAUCAAUGAGCCGUGAGCGAGGAUCAACUGGUAUGUGUGAAGAGAGAUAAUCUAGGGUUUGUUAAACUGAAAAUAUGAAAGGAAAAAUGACAUUGGGGUAAAC
rnacentral:lncRNA from 1 species